rnacentral:rRNA from 1 species
CCUACGGGGAGCAGCAGUGAGGAAUAUUGGUCAAUGGUCGCAAGACUGAACCAGCCAUGCCGCGUGCAGGAAGACGGUCCUAUGGAUUGUAAACUGCUUUUAUACAGGAAGAAACCCUCCCACGUGUGGGAGCUUGACGGUACUGUAGGAAUAAGGAUCGGCUAACUCCGUGCCAGCAGCCGCGGUAAUACGGAGGAUCCAAGCGUUAUCCGGAAUCAUUGGGUUUAAAGGGUCCGUAGGCGGUCUUAUAAGUCAGUGGUGAAAGCCCAUCGCUCAACGAUGGAACUGCCAUUGAUACUGUAGGACUUGAAUGCUUAGGAAGUAACUAGAAUAUGUAGUGUAGCGGUGAAAUGCUUAGAUAUUACAUGGAAUACCAAUUGCGAAGGCAGGUUACUACUAAGUGAUUGACGCUGAUGGACGAAAGCGUGGGGAGCGAACAGGAUUAGAUACCCUGGUAGUCCACGCCGUAAACGAUGGAUACUAGCUGUUCGGAGCAAUCUGAGUGGCUAAGCGAAAGUGAUAAGUUCCCACUGGGAGACCA